GACGAACGCUGGCGGCGUGCUUAACACAUGCAAGUCGAACGGAAAGGCCUGCUUUCCCUUGUGGAUUGCGGGUACUCGAGUGGCGAACGGGUGAGUAACACGUGAGUGAUCUGCCCCCAACUUGGGUAUAAGCCUGGGAAACUGGGUCUAAUUCCCGAUAGGACUGCAGGGUGGUGCCUGUGGUGGAAAACGAUUUUCUAGUGGUUGGGGAUGAGCUCGCGGCCUAUCAGCUUGUUGGUGGGGUAAUGGCCUACCAAGGCGGCGACGGGUAGCCGGCCUGAGAGGGUGGACGGCGACAUUGGGACUGGGUUACGGCCCAGACUCCUACGGGAGGCAGCAGUGGGGAAGAGUGCACAGUGGGCGGAAGCCUGAUGCAGCGACGCCGCGUGGGGGAUGACGGCCUUCGGGUUGUAAACUCCUUUCGACCGCGAGGAAGCCACCUGGUUGGAAGGGUGGUGACGGUAGUGGUAGAAGAAGCACCGGCUAACUACGUG
rnacentral:rRNA from 1 species